CUUGAAAAAAAUGUUGCUCUCACUAAAGAACAACUAAAGGAGCUGUUGAAAGAAAAAGAACAAAUAUUUGAUAUUAUAACUGAUUAUGAUAAGGAACGAAAAGCUAAUCUUGCAGUUAAUGAAUUACCUGUAAUUGAAAUAUUGAAAAAAAAGCUACAAGAUACUGACCUUAAAGAAAAAGACUUGCUAAUAGCGAAACUAGUGAAGGAAAAACAAGACAGAAGCAAAGUGACUAGUUCUAUUGGACUACAAUUUAAUUACCUGAUCCCUUCAAUGGGUAAGAGUA